CCUACGGGUGGCUGCAGUGGGGAAUAUUGCACAAUGGGCGCAAGCCUGAUGCAGCCAUGCCGCGUGUGUGAAGAAGGCCUUCGGGUUGUAAAGCACUUUCAGCGGGGAGGAAGGCGGUGAGGUUAAUAACCUCAUCGAUUGACGUUACCCGCAGGAGAAGCACCGGCUAACUCCGUGCCAGCAGCCGCGGUAAUACGGAGGGUGCAAGCGUUAAUCGGAAUUACUGGGCGUAAAGCGCACGCAGGCGGUCUGUCAAGUCGGAUGUGAAAUCCCCGGGCUCAACCUGGGAACUGCAUUCGAAACUGGCAGGCUAGAGUCUUGUAGAGGGGGGUAGAAUUCCAGGUGUAGCGGUGAAAUGCGUAGAGAUCUGGAGGAAUACCGGUGGCGAAGGCGGCCCCCUGGACAAAGACUGACGCUCAGGUGCGAAAGCGUGGGGAGCAAACAGGAUUAAAUACCCGUGUAGUC
rnacentral:rRNA from 1 species